UCGAGGGGUAUAUAGCUUCGGCAAUAGAGACCGGCGCACGGGUGCGUAACACGUGUACAAUCUACCUUUUGCUAAGGGAUAGCCCGAAGAAAUUUGGAUUAAUACCUUAUGGUAUUAUUUGAUGGCAUCAUUGAAUAAUUAAAGCUUUGGUGGCAAAAGAUGAGUACGCGUCCCAUUAGCUAGUUGGUGUGGUAACGGCAUACCAAGGCUACGAUGGGUAGGGGUCCUGAGAGGGAGGUCCCCCACACUGGUACUGAGACACGGACCAGACUCCUACGGGAGGCAGCAGUGAGGAAUAUUGGACAAUGGUCGGAAGACUGAUCCAGCCAUGCCGCGUGCAGGAUGACGGCCUUAUGGGUUGUAAACUGCUUUUAUACGGGAAGAAUAAGGUCUACGUGUAGAUUGAUGACGGUACUGUAUGAAUAAGCAU
rnacentral:rRNA from 1 species